GGGUGGGGUAGUGUUUUCCGAAUGCAAGUAGCAGCAUGUAUACGCAGCAGAGGUUAGUAGAAGCUUCUCUUUGACAAGAGUGUUGAUGAUGAAGGGAACUGAAGAUAUCGGAGGAGCACA